CUCUUAUAUACAAGUGAACUGUUCAGCAUACUACGCUGCUUGGAUAUAUUAACUAUCGAUUAAUUGACAAAACAUUCUAGAUUGACUCUCAUGGGUAGAAGAACCUAUGAUAGAUUUCAUAUAAGUAUUGCUUCCUAAAUCGUAAAGUGUGUAUUGUCAGUCUGCAUAAUUAUGUAAUGUAGUUCAUAUGAGAGCGUUAUAUGUCUGUGCCUUGUAAUAUAUAUAUUUUGUUUUUGACAUUUUGUAGAAAACCCAAAUUUUCUCAAACACUGUGUGGAUUAGGGAUAGACUUUGCAGUACCUUCUGGGAGGAUAUAGCUUGUUCAAGCCUGCUCUCUACUAACAAGUGGCAACCUCGGGUACUGUGGACUACAACCUUCUCUCUGAGCCUCGUCAUACCUGGGAACUUACUGUGCUCUACCUGGAAUUUGGGUACCUCCAUAUUAAACGCCACAAUGAUGUGUCUCUCUACCUACUUCCUUCAUCACUCAGCCUUAGAAUGUAACAUUUCAGCCAUACUGAAAUGAGUUGCUCCAAACCCAUUCCCCAUUUUGUAAGAGGAACUUCAAACAAAGUAAAUAUGACAAUUCCCAGGUAUGAACAAAGUGGCGGUUCUAG